GAUCAUGGCUCAGGAUGAACGCUAGCUACAGGCUUAACACAUGCAAGUCGAGGGGCAGCAUGUUGGUUGCUUGCAACCGAUGAUGGCGACCGGCGCACGGGUGAGUAACGCGUAUCCAACCUACCCUUGUCCAUCGGAUAACCCGUCGAAAGGCGGCCUAACAUGAUAUGUGGUUCACAGCAGGCAUCUAACGUGAACGAAAUGUGAAGGAGAAGGAUGGGGAUGCG
rnacentral:rRNA from 1 species